UACGUAGGCAGCAAGCGUUGUUCGGAGUUACUGGGCGUAAAGGGCGCGUAGGCGGAUAUCUAAGUCGGGGGUGAAAGCCCGGGGCUCAACCUCGGAAUUGCCUUCGAUACUGGAUAUCUUGAGUUCGGGAGAGGUGAGUGGAAUGCCGAGUGUAGAGGUGAAAUUCGUAGAUAUUCGGCGGAACACCAGUGGCGAAGGCGACUCACUGGCCCGAUACUGACGCUGAUGCGCGAAAGCGUGGGGAGCAAACAGG
rnacentral:rRNA from 1 species